rnacentral:rRNA from 1 species
UACGUAGGGUGCGAGCGUUAAUCGGAAUUACUGGGCGUAAAGCGUGCGCAGGCGGUUCGUUAAGUCAGAUGUGAAAGCCCCGGGCUCAACCUGGGAACUGCAUUUGAAACUGGCGGGCUUGAGUGUGGCAGAGGGGGGUGGAAUUCCGCGUGUAGCAGUGAAAUGCGUAGAGAUGCGGAGGAACACCGAUGGCGAAGGCGGCCCCCUGGGCCAACACUGACGCUCAGGCACGAAAGCGUGGGGAGCAAACAGG